ncrna:unclassified sequences DTF805b RNA
UAGGCAGGUUCCGAAAAGCCUUUGAGAGAGUAGGAG